GACCGGACCCCCGCGGCGUCCAUCUCCUCAACUCCCCCAGGGCCGGAAGGCAGCAAGGGUCCGGGAGCUCUGGCGGGUGCGGGGGUCCGCCUCGU
rfam:Actinobacteria bacterium 69-20 SCNpilot_cont_1000_bf_scaffold_150, whole genome shotgun sequence.